rnacentral:misc_RNA from 1 species
GAUGAAGAACGUAGCGAAAUGCGAUAAGUAGAGUGAAUUGCAGAAUUCAGUGAAUCAUCGAAUCUUUGAACGCACAUUGCGCCCUUUGGUAUUCCUUAGGGCAUGCCUGUUCGAGCGUCAUUUAAACCUUCAAGCUAAGCUUGGUGUUGGGUGACUGUCCGCUUCACGGCGGACUCGCCUCAAAAUUAUUGGCGGCCGGUACAUUGGCUUCGAGCGCAGCAGAAACGCGAACUCGGGCCCGUCGUAUUGGCUCCCAGAAGCUAUCUUCACAAUUUUGACCUCGGAUCAGGUAGGGAUACCCGCUGAACUUAAGCAUAUCAAUAAGCGGAGGA